rnacentral:rRNA from 1 species
GACGAACGCUGGCGGCGUGCUUAACACAUGCAAGUCGAACGGAAUCCAUGGUGUAGCAAUACACCGGAAGAUUUAGUGGCGAACGGGUGAGGAUCACGUGAGAAACGUGCCCCAGACUCUGGGAUAACAAUUGGAAACGAUUGCUAAUACCGGAUGACGUCGGAGAAUCGCAUGAUUCACUGACGAAAGAUAUUUCGGUUUGGGAGCGUCUCGCGGCCUAUCAGCUUGUUGGUGGGGUAAUGGCCUACCAAGGCAACGACGGGUAGCUGGUCUGAGAGGAUGAUCAGCCACACUGGGACUGAGACACGGCCCAGACUCCUACGGGAGGCAGCAGUGGGGAAUUUUGGACAAUGGGCGAAAGCCUGAUCCAGCCAUGCCGCGUGAGUGAAGAAGGCCUCGG